GGCUGUUACAGUUUAUCAAAAUUUUACCUGUUUUUGAUGAAGUUGACAGUUUGGAGGAGUACUGGUCAGGAUUCUUUGGCAAAAAGACACGAGACCCGGGGUGCCUGGGGGCCUCAGUCAGUGAAGCAUCUGCCGUCAGCUUAGGUCAUGAUCCCAGGAUCCUGAGAUUGAGCUGUGCAUCAGGCUCUCCUUCUCCCUCCCCCUCUGUGAUCUCUC
rnacentral:lncRNA from 1 species